rnacentral:rRNA from 1 species
UACGAAGGGUGCAAGCGUUACUCGGAAUUACUGGGCGUAAAGCGUGCGUAGGCGGUUCGUUAAGUCUGAUGUGAAAGCCCUGGGCUCAACCUGGGAAUGGCAUUGGAAACUGGCGACCUAGAGUGCGGUAGAGGGUAGUGGAAUUCCCGGUGUAGCAGUGAAAUGCGUAGAUAUCGGGAGGAACACCGAUGGCGAAGGCAGCCCCCUGGGCUAGCACUGACGCUCAGGCACGAAAGCGUGGGGAGCAAACAGG